rnacentral:rRNA from 1 species
CCUACGGGAGGCAGCAGUGGGGAAUAUUGCACAAUGGGGGAAACCCUGAUGCAGCAACGCCGCGUGGGUGAAGAAGUAUUUCGGUAUGUAAAGCCCUAUCAGCAGGGAAGAGAAUGACGGUACCUGACUAAGAAGCCCCGGCUAACUACGUGCCAGCAGCCGCGGUAAUACGUAGGGGGCAAGCGUUAUCCGGAUUUACUGGGUGUAAAGGGAGCGUAGACGGUUGUGCAAGUCUGAAGUGAAAGCCAGCGGCUCAACUGCGGAACGGCUUUGGAAACUGUGUAACUGGAGUGCUGGAGAGGGAAGCGGAAUUCCUGGGGUAGCGGUGAAAUGCGUAGAGAUCAGGAGGAACACCGGCGGCGAAGGCGGCUGACUGGACAGUAACUGACGUUGAGGCUCGAAAGCGUGGGGAGCAAACAGGAUUAGAUACCCCUGUAGUC